UGUAGGCUCCGCCCCGACCCGCGGAGGGUCUGCUGCGCAGACACGUGGGGCAAAGGGGCGUGGCGGCAUUGCGGCUUUGGGGGUGUGGCCAGAGACGUCACCUACUUGACUGGAGUGGGCAGCGCGUCAUGACCGUCCCAACGCCUAAGCAGCUGAUGCUGCGACGCGGUGACACUCAAAGAAGGACAUGGUAAUUUCCAGGUUGAAAGUCUUUUUUAAAAAAAUUACUUCUAAAGGUUUGCUGGCUUAUGUGCACUGGGGUUCACGUGAACUGUUCUCAGACACUGCCUAGAUGACUCCACCCACUUCCUCCUGUGAAUCCUUCAGACCUCAGCUCCAUGCCAGGUCCUGAUCUGCUCUCCCCACUGCAAUCCUUUCCAGAGUCUAACUUGCUUCUGAUGAACUAAGGGAAUGAGUGGACUCCCCAACAGCCUGAGAGGCUCCCCUGCACCUGCAAGGACUGCAACAGAGAAAUGAGAGAAGAUACCGGUUUCCACUGUGUUUAUUACUAAUAUAAAAAAAAGUUAAAAAGAA
rnacentral:lncRNA from 1 species